CCAAUAGCGUAUAUUAAAGUUGUUGCAGUUAAAAAGCUCGUAGUUGAAUUUCGGGGUCAGUAGGUUGGUCAUGCCACUGGUAUGUACUGAUCUUACUGAUUCCUCCUUCCUGAUGAACCGUAAUGCCAUUAAUUUGGUGUUGCGGGGAGACUGGACUGUUACUUUGAAAAAAUUAGAGUGUUUAAAGCAGGCUAACGCUUGAAUACAUUAGCAUGGAAUAAUGAAAUAGGACGUUCGAUCCUAUUUUGUUGGUUUCUAGGAUAGACGUAAUGAUUAAUAGGGAUAGUUGGGGGCAUUAGUAUUCAAUUGUCAGAGGUGAAAUUCUUGGAUUUAUUGAAGACUAACUACUGCGAAAGCAUUUGCCAAGGAUGUUUUCAUUAAUCAAGAACGAAAGUUAGGGGAUCGAAGACGAUCAGAUACCGUCGUAGUCUUAACCAUAAACUAUGCCGACUAGGGAUCGGAUGAUGUUAAUUUUUUAAUGACUCAUUCGGCGCCUUAC
rnacentral:rRNA from 1 species